GACGAACGCUGGCGGCGUGCCUAACACAUGCAAGUCGAACGGAGAGUUCAUUGAGGAGGCUUCGGCCAACGAGGUGAAUUUCUUAGUGGCGGACGGGUGAGUAACGCGUGAGCAAUCUGCCUUUCAGAGGGGGAUAACGUUCUGAAAAGAACGCUAAUACCGCAUAACGUAUUUGGGUGGCAUCAUCCGGAUACCAAAGGAGCAAUCCGCUGAAAGAUGAGCUCGCGUCUGAUUAGAUAGUUGGUGGGGUAACGGCCUACCAAGUCGACGAUCAGUAGCCGGACUGAGAGGUUGAACGGCCACAUUGGGACUGAGACACGGCCCAGACUCCUACGGGAGGCAGCAGUGGGGAAUAUUGCACAAUGGAGGAAACUCUGAUGCAGCCAUGCCGCGUGUGUGAAGAAGGCCUUCGGGUUGUAAAGCACUUUCGGUAGGGGAGGAACGAAAUGACGUUACCCUCAGAAGAAGCACCGGCUAACUCCGUAGCCAGCAGCC
rnacentral:rRNA from 1 species